CGGGUGAGUAACACGUAAACAACCUGCCUUCAAGAUGGGGACAACAGACGGAAACGACUGCUAAUACCGAAUACGAUCCGAAAGUCGCAUGACAUUCGGAUGAAAGGGUGGCCUAUCGAAGAAGCUAUCGCUUGAAGAGGGGUUUGCGUCCGAUUAGGUAGUUGGUGAGGUAACGGCCCACCAAGCCGACGAUCGGUAGCCGGUCUGAGAGGAUGAACGGCCACACUGGAACUGAGACACGGUCCAGACUCCUACGGGAGGCAGCAGGU
rnacentral:rRNA from 1 species